AUACCUUUCUCGGCCUUUUGGCUAAGAUCAAGUGUAGUAUCUGUUCUUAUCAGUUUAAUAUCUGAUAUGUGGGCCAAUGGUCCACACGAUAUUAAAUUUAUUUUUUGAGGGGGAGAGUCGAUUACAAUAGCUUGCUAUUGGGUCUCUUGAGUGUCGCCCAUGUGUUGCACUACAACAUGGGCUUGGCGCACCCCAC
rnacentral:snRNA from 1 species